GGGUUUAGGUACCAUUGUGACUCCUUGUCACCUGAGAGACCCAUUUUUCCUGAUUGAUUCAUUAAGAGCAUUAGUGCCUGUCAGACACCUUUGGACAAAUCAACUGACAAGGGGCUGUGGUUUUAUAAAGAAAACAAAGACUUUAGGUGUGAAAUCCUCUUUUUCUCCUUCACUUUUUUUUAGGUAAAUAUUUAAAUUUUUCUUUUUCUUUUCUUUUUGUUUUUUUGAGUCAGAGUUUCACUUUUGUUGUUCAGGGUAGAGCGCAGUGGCAUGAUCUUGGCUCACUGCAACCUCUGUCUACCGGGAUCAAGUGAUUUUCCUGCCUCAGCCUCCCGAGUAGCUGGGAUUACAGGCACAUGCCAUUCUGUCUGGCUAAUUUUAUAUUCUUAAUAGAGAUGGGGGUUUCACGAUAUUGGCCAGGUCAGUCUUGAACUCCUGACCUCAGGUGAUAAACCUGCCUCAGCCUUUCAGAGUGCUGAGAUUAUAGGCAUGAGCCACUGCACCCAGCCUCAAUUUUUCUUUAAAAAUUGGUAAAUAGUGGUACCUCAGCAGGCUUAGUGUAGAAUUGUCAUGUGGCUGGCAGCAGUGUCUCAUGCUUGUAAUCCUAAGACUUUGGGAGGCUGAGGCAGGCAGAUAACUUGAGGUCAAAAGUUCCAAGACAAAAUUGGCCAACAUGGUCCAACCCCGUCUCUACCAUAAAGUACAAAAAUGAGUUGGGUGUUCGGUCAGGCACCUGUAGUCUCAGCUACUUGGGAGGCUGAGAUGGGAGAAUUGUUUGAACUCAGAAGACAGAGGUUCCAGUGAGCUGACACUGUACCACUGCCCUUCAGCCUGGUCUACAGAGUGAGACCCUGUCUCAAAAAAAAGAAAGAAAAGAAAGAGAGAGAGAAUUGACAUGCACUAGGUUGUGGUUCCUGUGUGGAUGGGCAGUUUUUCAAAAUCAAGUCUCACUGAGCUGCAGGAGCCACACUCAGUUGUUGUUCUUUUGAGACAUAGUUUCACCUUUGUCACCAAGGCUGGAGUGCAGUGGUGCAAUCUCAACUCACUGCAACCUUCAUUUCCUGGUUUUUAGCAAUCUCUUACCUAAGCCUCCUGAAGCUGAGAUUACAGGCACCCACCACCACACCAAGCUAAUUUUUGUAUUUUAGUAGAGAUGGGGUUUCACCAUGUUGGCCAGGCUUGUCUAGAACUCCUGACCUUGUGAUCU
rnacentral:lncRNA from 13 species